GAUUCGACUGGAAGCGGAGAACGCUGGAAGCAUGCCGAGGGAGUCCGGCCUCGUAAAAACGGGCGCAAAAAAUAAACGCUAACAAUAGCAGAACCUAUAGCGCUCCCGUAGCGCUCGCGGCUUAACUCAUUUAAGCUCCGUCCGUCCGGAACUGCCCACGGUUUCGGGUGCGGGCGUCAAAUCAGUGGGGAACUCCCGUAAGAGCUGAAUCUCCGGCUCAUUCGGGCGACUUUAGGGGAUAUGCGCUUCGUCGGUUUGUCUGCGGACCGACGGGGUUGCGAGACUGACCACAGACUAAGCAUGUAGAAACCACGGGCGAAACUUGCAACACCCGAGUGCAACUCUCGGCUGGUCCACCA
rnacentral:tmRNA from 1 species